rnacentral:rRNA from 1 species
GUUGGCCCUUAGAUUUGCGCUCAGGACGAACGCUGGCGGCGUGCCUAAUACAUGCAAGUCGAGCGGACUUAAAGCUUGCUUAAGUUAGCGGCGGACGGGUGAGUAACACGUGGGCAACCUGCCUGUAAGACUGGGAUAACUUCGGGAAACCGGAGCUAAUACCGGAUAAUCCUUUUCUACUCAUGUAGAAAGCUGAAAGACGGUUUACGCUGUCACUUACAGAUGGGCCCGCGGCGCAUUAGCUAGUUGGUGAGGUAACGGCUCACCAAGGCGACGAUGCGUAGCCGACCUGAGAGGGUGAUCGGCCACACUGGGACUGAGACACGGCCCAGACUCCUACGGGAGGCAGCAGUAGGGAAUCUUCCGCAAUGGACGAAAGUCUGACGGAGCAACGCCGCGUGAGUGAUGAAGGUUCGGAUCGUAAACUCUGUUGUUAGGGAAGAACAAGUACGAGAGUAACUGCUCGUACCUUGACGGUACCUAACCAGAAAGCCACGGCUAACUACGUGCCAGCAGCCGCGGUAAUACGUAGGUGGCAAGCGUUGUCCGGAAUUAUUGGGCGUAAGCGCGCGCAGGCGGUCCUUAAGUCUGAUGUGAAAGCCCACGGCUCAACCGUGGAGGGUCAUUGGAAACUGACUUGAGUGCAGAAGAGAAGAGUGGAAUUCCACGUGUAGCGGUGAAAUGCGUAGAGAUGUGGGAACACCAGUGGCGAAGGCGACUCUUUGGUCUGUAACUGACGCU